UGAACACUUAGGUUGAUUUCAAAUCUUGGCUAUCAUGAAUGGUGCUGCAAUACAAAUAGGAGUGUGAAUAUCUCUUUAAUAAACUGAGUUUUUAGAAAAUUUUAGCUAUAUAUCUAGCAGUGGGAUAGAAGGAUCAUAUAGUAACUCUAUUUUUAGUUCUUUGAGGAGGUACAGAUUGUUCUCAACAGUGGCUGUACUAAUUCACAUUCCCACCAACAGUGUACAAAUGGUCCUUUUACUCCACAGCAUUUGUUGUUGCCUUUUAGACAAAAGCCAUUUUAACUGAGGCGAGAUGAUCUCUCAGUGUAGUUUUGAUUUGCAUUUCUCUGAUGAUGUUUGAUGCUGUACACCUUGCUGUUUGUACGUCUUCUUUGGAGAACUUUCUCUUCAGAUUUCUUGCCCAUUUUUAAUCACAUUGUUUAUCUUACACUUUUAAGCGUUUUAAACAAACAUUUUAUAGUUUCUGUAACCUCGAAGUCUGGCUAGCAUUUGUUUUAUUCUUUGCUUCUUUAACAUGGAAUUAUAAUAAUGAUGAUAGUAAUACUCUUAACAACAGUGAUAUUAAUCUACUUUUAUUGUGAUAGGUAUACCUACUCUGAGCUAGGUAUCAUUCCAAGUGCUUAAUACACAUUUAUAUUCAAACAACUCAAUAUGAUCACUUUUAUUAUCCAAUUUUGCAGAUAAAGAACCAAAAUUUAGAAGACCUCAUGGCUAACAAAUAGACAUGAAAUAUACCUUCAAAGACCUUACUGUUAACCAACAGAAUCUUGCACCAUCCUCCAGGCUGGAAUGCAGUGGUAUAACAGCUGACUGCAACCUCGAACACCUGGACUCAAGUCAUCCUCCUACCUCAGCCUGCCAAGUAGCCAGGACUACAUGCAUGGAUUACCAUGCUCAGCAAAUUGUUUUUAAUUACUACUUUUUUCAGACAGGGUAUUGUUACGUCCCAGGCUAGUCUCAAAGUCCUGGCCUCAAUCUGACCUUGGAAGGAUCCUCCCAAAGUUCUGGGAUUACAGGCAUUAGCCACGACUCCCAGCCUCCACUUGGCUAUUUUAAAAUCUCAAACUUUUAACUGAGAACAAGAGGUCUCUCUUUAUUCAUAUUUUUUAUAGUUAUAUGCUCUCAACAGUUUAUUAAGAGGUUAGAACUUCUGUUAAGUGUUCUUUUUUUUUAAAUUUCACUUUACAUUCUGGGGUACAUGUGCAGAACAUGCACGAUUGUUGCAUAGGUACAUGCAUGGCAAUGUGGUUUGCUGCCUCCAACCCCAUCACCUAUAUCUGGCAUUUCUCCCCAUGUUAUCCCUCGCCAACUCCCUACCCCCCACUGUCCCUCCUCAAGUCCCCCCAACAGACCCCAGUGUGUGAUGCUUCCCUUCUUGUGUCCAUGUGUUCUCAUUGUUCAACAUCCACCCAUGAGUGAGAACAUCCCGUGUUUGAUUUUCUGGUCUUGUGUCAGUUUGCUGAGAAUGAUGGUUUCCAGAUUCAUUCAUGUCCCUACAAAGGACACGAACUCAUUGUUUUUUAUGGCUGCAUAGUAUUCCAUGGUGUGUACAGGCCAUAUUUUCCUUGUCCAGUUUAUCAUCGAUGGGAAUUUGGGUUGGUUCCAGGUCUUUGCUAUAAUAAACAGUGCCACAAUGAACA
rnacentral:lncRNA from 13 species